AGAGUUUGAUCAUGGCUCAGGACGAACGCUGGCGGCGUGCCUAACACAUGCAAGUCGAACGAGGUCCAUCCUUCGGGAGAAGACCUAGUGGCGAACGGGUGAGUAACACGUGAAGAACCUGCCCCGAAGACCGGGAUAACCCUCCGAAAGGAGAGCUAAUACCGGAUACCCCCAUCGAACCGCAUGGUUUGAUGAGGAAAUGGAUUCCGCUUCGGGAGGGCUUCGCGGCCUAUCAGCUAGUUGGUGGGGUAACGGCCCACCAAGGCAUCGACGGGUAGCUGGUCUGAGAGGACGAUCAGCCACACUGGGACUGAGACACGGCCCAGACUCCUACGGGAGGCAGCAGUGGGGAAUCUUGCGCAAUGGGCGAAAGCCUGACGCAGCAACGCCGCGUGGGGGAUGAAGGCUCUCGGGUUGUAAACCCCUUUCAGCAGGGACGAAUCAAGACGGCACCUGCAGAAGAAGCCCCGGCUAACUACGUGCCAGCAGCCGCGGUAACACGUAGGGGGCAAGCGUUGUCCGGAUUUAUUGGGCGUAAAGAGCUCGUAGGUGGCUGAGUAAGUCGGAUGUUAAAUCCCCAGGCUCAACCUGGGACACCACCCGAUACUGCUCUGGCUAGAGUCCGGUAGGGGAGCGUGGAAUUCCUGGUGUAGCGGUGAAAUGCGUAGAGACUGGGAAGAACACCAGUGGCGAAGGCGGCUACCUGGACAGGUACUGACGCUGAAGCGCGAAAGCUAGGGGAGCAAACAGGAUUAGAUACCCUGGUAGUCCUAGCUGUAAACGAUGGGCACUUGGUGUUGCGGGUAUCGACCUCUGCAGUGC
rnacentral:rRNA from 1 species